UACGUAGGAGGCAAGCGUUGUCCGGAAUUACUGGGCGUAAAGCGCGUGUAGGUGGUGGGACAAGUCUGCUGUGAAAGCGCCUGGCUUAACCGGGCGAGGUCGGCGGAAACUGUCCGACUCGAGGACGGUAGAGGGGGGUGGAAUUCCCGGUGUAGUGGUGAAAUGCGUAGAGAUCGGGAGGAACACCGGUGGCGAAGGCGGGUCUCUGGGCCAUUACUGACGCUGAGGAGCGAAAGCGUGGGGAGCGAACAGG
rnacentral:rRNA from 1 species